AUGUCAAAGGAUUGUUUACUUUGAAAGCUAUGCUAAGAGCUAAAUUCUUAUCUCUUGAGCAACAAGCCAACUUCUUGGUUAUCAUAGAUGUGCUUUGCUGGGUCCAGUUGAAGCUGUUGCGAGAGUAAGAUGUAGUUGUGCUCCUGCUGAGCCUGAGCAUUUUCAGAUGGUGCUGAUUGAGUUGAAGAGUCAUCUAGCAGCUACUGCUGUCCUAAAUAUUACUUCUGUGUAUUGGAAUUUCAAAACACAUCUCGUUGCAGGUGAUGUAUUUUUGUAACAAACGCUUUUAGGCAAAUGAAUGUUGUUUGGUUGUUCACGUCUCUCCUGCACUGUGGCUGUAGUUUAGAAAAGCUGUCUUCCACGUUGAAUUUCAAACCUCUUUGAGCCUUGGCUUCCCUGUUCACUGUAACAAACUCUUGAUGCUUUGUGCUUUUGAUUAAAUAGCACUAUUUCCCCUCUUUCAAGAAAACUAGGUUUACAAGUCUUAAAAAGUUGUAUUUGUGGCUUUAUCUGUUCUUAAUUUUAUCACUGUUUGACCAUGACCACAAAUUCCAACUCUGUUAUUUUUAGUUUGGAAAAAAAAAAAAAAAAACACCAAUCCCCCUAACCUUGAAAAUGAAACCGCACAAUUCAGUGACCUUAACUUUUCAUGGUUCACAAGUAUGCUGGGAAUAUCUGGUGGUAGAACAAAUGUAUACUUGAAUUCAAAUGGAGAAAGAAAUGCUCUUCCUAUGGAAAGUUUAUUCAGGACUUGUUAUGAUUAACUCUUUACGUAUUGCAGUAUUACUCUGCUUGGUUAGUAUAGAGUGGCUGUGGGUUGUGUUUUCCUGAAAUUAAAAUCUGCAAUUUUUUUUCUCUCUACAGUGAAGUUAGGUUGUUUUCAAGGGCAUACCUGAUAUACUUCAUGAGGGCAAUCUAUUCAUGUAGAUGGAAACAAAUGCAUUGUUUUUGCUGCUUCUAUGUUGCUUGGCCUGAAAGAGAAACCUCCAGCUGUAAGUACAGAUUUGGAGAAGUUGUUAGAAAAACUUGUCAUGCAUAGUGCCUAACGAUAACAAUAUAACAUAUAUUAUUGUUGUAUUCUCCACAACGGAUGUCUGUAGUAGGGAACCAUCUAGUGAAACUAGCUUUAAAAAUACUAAGAUAGCCCUCCAUGAAUUUGUCCAAGGAUUGCAGGUUGGCUGAGCUUGAUAACUUUUACCCCAGAACACAUCAAUGUGUGCAGUCUGAGCCUCUGCAAUUACAGGGGAUGCAACUCUCCAGCAGGCUGGAAAAUGGCAAAUGCUGUCCUUUACAUUGUCCUUAAAAAAAAAAAAAAAAAAAAGCAUGAGGUUUAUAAUCAGUCGAUGUUUGGCACCUAAGCAACUAUUAGCAAACUAGCAAACCAUCUAGAAGGCGUCCAGGGAAUAAUGGAAGUUCCAGCAUGGAUUUAUCAAGAGUAAAACAGAACAAACUAGUUUAAUUCUAUGACAAAGUAAUAGGCACUAUAGAAAGCAGUGACUUUGUUAUCUUGAUACUAGUGAGACUCUGGACAUUGUCUCAUAUAGCAGGUAUGUGAGCAAGCUGAGGAAAUAUGAUCUUGAUAAAAACUGAAGAAAGGGAUGCAAUACUGAUUGGAUAUCUCGACUUGAAUAGUUGUCAAUGUGUUGUCAUCAGCUGCAGAAGACGGGUAGAACUGAGAUUCCUCUGAAAUCUGUCCUAGGGUUGAUGCAAUUUGGGAUUGACUGGGAUGAUGAAAUGCAGAAUAUCCUGACAAAACUUGCAGACUCAGCAAAGCACUAUGGCACAUCGGGCUGGAGUUCAGAACAGCCUUUUGCAAAUUGCGGAGAUGGUCUGAAAUGCCUGUGUGUGCAGGAAGGGUCAGUAUGGUGCAAGAAGAGCAAGUUCCUGUGCUUAUUCAGGAGUAAUCCAAUGCACAAGUACUGGCUGGGGAAAGACGGGUAAAGGCAGCAGUCCUGAAAGGAAAAGAAAAAGAUUCAGAGUUGGUUUCACCAGUGAGCUAUACCUAAACCGACACUCUUAGCUCUGAGAGGGAAGCAGAAUUGUUCAGGUGUGUGUGUGUGUGUGUGUGUGUAUAUAUACAUAUACAUAUAUAUAUAAUAUAUAUGGAACUGUUGUAUGUGUUGCAUGCGGUGCAGUCAUAUGCUGCUGGCAACAACUUGAGGGGAAAGAGAGAGCAUUGUGUCCAGUUUUGGGCAAAAGACUUCAAGUCAGUUGGAAAAAUUCUGGAGGAGAGCAAAAGAAUGACCCAAAGGUCCAGAAAAUAUGACCUGUGGAGGAAUGAUUGAAAGAAUUACGUUUGUUUAGUCUAGGGAGGAGAAGAUGAAGGGAAGAUGUGAGAACAGUCUUCAAAUAUGCAAAAGGUUGCUAUAGGGGAUAAAGUAAUAUGAGAGGCCCAUCACUACUUAAACUUCUAUAAGGUAAGCCUAGAGUUUGUCAUUAGGUGAAAUUUUCUAAUAACAAGUGCAGUGAAGCACUGAAAUAAUUCUGAAUUCCACAUUGCUCCAUGCCUUUGAGAGUUAAGUUGAACUAUUCUUCAUGUAUGUUUGUCAGGAAGAGUUGAUUCUUCCUUUUGGUGGGAGCAGAGGGGGAACCUUCUGAGUCCCCUUUAUUAUCAGUGUCUUAACAAUUAGAUGUCCUCUUCAAGUCUUUUAUACGUGAUCUUGUUCCAUAAACACAUAACUUACCUUUUUUCUUAGUUUCCUGAUUACUAGUGCACUAAAAGAUUUAAAUGUGAGUUUUGAAGUCUCAGCCAAUUUAAAAGUCAAAUCCUAAUAUUUAACCUUUGACGAGUCAGUAGUAGGAAGUUGCUUGUGUUUUGGCGACUGCAAAGCAGUAGCAACAAAACCUACAAGCAAAGAAAGUAAGCAUGCAAGAUGCAGUUUCUGGUGGUGCUUUAAUGUAGCUUUCGGCCGAUCGCUUCAGGAGAAAGUUGCUUGUAUGCCACAGAGACAGUUUUCAGAUCUUGGAUAACCCUGACUAAAUCAUUCCCUAGCAAAGUGCAUUACACCUGUGAAAAGUGUAUUGGACAGAACUGAUUCCAGCAGGUACGUGAUGAGUUAUACGUGUUGAUAGCAGUGUGUCAACACAGCACCAAAUUAGCAAUAUUCUGUUUUUUAUCCCACAGUCACCUCCGUUGGCAUGUCUAGUGCCUUUGCGCUGUCACUGGGAGGGGUUCCCUUUCCAAAGGAUUAAGCAUGGAAUGUUUUGUCCUCUAUUUAUGCAAAACCUAUAGGAACUCAGUAUUUCCUGCCUAUGUCAUUAUAGGGCUGAAUCAGUUUGAGAGUUACACCAGCUCUGUGUGCCUCAGUUUAUCCUCUGGUAAGUGAAGAUGCUAAGAGUUGUAAGGACUGCAGGUGAAGAAGAUGCUUUCUUCUUAUUCAGCAAUUUUCAUCUGAUUCAAGUUAGUUUAAUCUGAGCCGCAGAGGCCCAGUGCAGUUGACAGGCAGUAUAACUUCUGCACUGAAAAUGAGACUCAGUGGGAUUAAGUGAUUUGGCUGAGGUUGCAGACCUGAGGCCAUUAAGCUAGCGAACGCUUUGACACCUGUUGCCCUUGCUUAACCACUAGACCUCAUCUUCAGAUCCUCUGGAGUUUAGAAAGCCUCAAUGUGGUAGCCUCAAUGACUCUUUCCUUGCUGACAUGUUUUCAAACACUCUUGACACUGGCCAAUUUCUGUGUGUAAAAAGAAAAGAAAACAAAACAAACGCCCAGCUUCCUUGAAUACAAAUGAGGCUUGUCCAGCUUGUUGGUAAAACAGUGUUUAUUUCUCCCUAAUAGGGUGACUAAAGCCAAAUAAAAUCUUCCAGUAUUUCAUAGACUUUUUUUUUCCCCUGACUGUGCCUUUAUUUUUAUUUUUUUUAAUCCCAGGCUGAUUUAUUGUUCUCUUCUGGUUGCUAUGGCUCUGUAAAAUAUAUAUUUUUCUAUCAUCUGUUUGUAAUAUUGACCGGUUUCCAGUAUAGAGCUGCCCUGGCUCCUCUCUAGUAUUCCAGGAUUUUAGAUUAAAAAUGGGGGGGAUUAACUGUGUUUUUGAGCUCCACAAAGAAGUAUAAAUCAAGCUUAAUUUCAACAGAACCUGUGGUGUAGUGAACUCGGUGCAAACACUGGAAGUGUGGCUCGGUGCAGUUUGUAAGGCAGCGCCGGGCCCGUCCUUUGCCGUAGGUGAGUAGGAUUCGACCGAGCGCGCGGGCUGCGUGCCUCGAGCCUGUAAAGGGGUAUGGAAACAUGAAGUCACUGGUUCCAAUUUAACCCAAGCUUGUCGCGGCCAAAAGCUCUCAUCAUCUGAUAGUUAUUCAGUGGUCCAUGAGAAAUCGGUUGGGUUUUAGCCUAAUUCCUCUUCGACGUUUCCCAUAAAACAAGCUGUUCUGCGAGCACCGGCGCGCACCAAGCCUGGUCCUUUACAUCUGCGCGUCCCUGCACCGCCGCAAUAAAUCCGUCUCUCCCUGCUCGUGAGCUCACCUCCCCGAUAUUUCUCAUUCCCCCAUCUUCUAAGGCGGCCGUGUCACGUCCCCUAGCUUCCAGCUGGGAAGUACGUGCCGUGGCUGGUACCGAGCCCCGUGCUGGCUGCUGAAACCAGCCGGCUCCUCGUGCGCGGGGCGGUCAGCGGACGUGCCGGGCAUGACAGGCGGCUGCCGAGCUCGUGCUGCGGCCGUGCUCGGUGCGGUGCAGGCUGCCCAGCUCCCGGAGCUGGCUGCGGGCUCAGAACCUGCUGGGAGGGAACUGCCAAGCAAUACUGAUGUAAAUUGCCUCCCUCCUGGUAGGGAUGGUGGCAAAGCGCUGGUCACGGAUGGACCCGGCUCUUCUUUGCUGCUCUAGACGCAAGUAAAGCUUAUGGAGUAGUCCGGAGAAGCGGCUGUCUCCAAAGCUGCUGAUCAGCCACAAAAUGCUGAAGAGACCUCCUGGAAAAUGGUUUUAUCAACAGACACGGUGACGCUAAGAGGAGACGUUCUGUAAGACUACAAAAGCACAUCUCUUGGAACGCUGUCCCAGGGUUGCACAGAGAGAAUACCAAAGCUGGGACUGCGUUUGUUCUUCCCUUCCUGUUGCUGUCGGUGCUCGGGAUGCUCAAGGGCCUUGUGGCUGGCACUGGCCGGUGGCCCUGCCCUGCCAGUAGUCAAACCACCCGACCUACAGGUCCGCUGGCUUUGCAGUGAGCACACAGGGCAGUGCUGCUUGCACGAAGCCCUUCCUUUGGCAGCCUCUGGCCUCAGCCUCUGGCCUCAGCCUGUGCUGGUAAGCCACGAAAGCUGGGGUUUGUGUCCGAGCUCUUGGAGGAGGAAAGUAAGAGUCAUGGCAUUUUUUCUUUGAGUGCACGUGAGGUAUGGGGCAGCUGGAUGCCAAUCUGCUUUCCUGACAUAGCAGUUCUCCGACUAGUCUUGAGCCUUCUCUCUUUUAAGUCUUUGGACUUUUUUUCUCUAAUCUGCUUUGUUUUCAUGUGACUGUUCUGGGUUUGGUGCAGCGGGACCCAUUGAAAGUCAUUAGUAUUGCUCUUCUUUUCCCCUCUCAAAGAAACUGUAAGCUUCUAGCACCUUUCUGUGUUUGUUUUCUUUUAAUGUCAAGGUGGUUUUGCCAUCUAGCAGACUCUAGAGGAGCGUAGCAAUACUGACUGCCCAUGCCGUGCAGCACAGGGAGCCCUUCCCUUGGAGAGGAACAAGAGGACGGACCCCAGCACCGUGCCGGUAGCGCUGAGCACAGCCCGGGUGCCCUUACGCUGCUCUCAAAUGCCGUGGAUGGACAGAGCAGCAGCACGUGUAAAUCUGAUGUAUGUCGCAUUUAUAAAUGCACAGUCAUCGUAGCCUGCAUGCUGCAUGUGGGCUCCCCCUGGAAGAGGGAUGAAGCAAACAGGCGUGGAGACGUGGAAAAAGCUGUGACCCAUCUCCCUGCAAGGCUGCUGCAAGAGCCGGGGCGAUGCAAGGACAGCCGGUGGGCUCUGUGCACUGGGGUGCUGGCUCCUGGCAGGUGGUUAUCGUGGAAUAAAUCAGUUAUCAGAACAGAUCUAGCUUGUUUUCUGCCCCAAGGGGAGGGGAGCUGAGCUCUCUGCUGGAAGCCUUUUCUCCACCCUACCCGGAGCAUCCCUGCUUUAGGAGGGUGAGGAGCACACGUGCUGGGGACCCGAGGAGCACCUCUGGCUGCUCGGGUAGGGAAGCGGGCAGAAGCUGCACGUGGUCAGCCCAGCCUGGACAAAGGCUCUGUCCCCUGUGCUGCGGGAGGAAUGCAAGACAAAGGAAACGGCUCAGGGGAAGGCAGAAACUCCCCUCCUGCUGGUGUGAGGUCCUUUGGCCUCUUAUUUGUGAGUCUUUGUCCCUCCCGGCCUUUUCUGGGAAGCGGAAGCAGCCACUCUAGUAGCGAAAGGCUUCUGCAUCGAAUAGUGCUGCCUCCUCCUAUCGAGGAGCUGAAAGCCACAAAACAAGAAUUGUUCUGCGGUCACAGGAGCAUCCUCUCCUUCUGCCUGCGCGCGAUUGUUUGGGAUGCACAGAGGAGAGUGUGAAGGUUGCACACAUACUGAGUAGCCUCGUAAGAAGGACUGGUUUUUCCCUUGACAGCUGCCAGCCCGUGUUAGAUGAUACCGCAGAGCAGAGCAGACUGAGCUGGAAGUUGGGUUCACUGUUACACAUCCACCUUCUUACGCUUCCUAUUGAAGAUCUGUGCAGCAAGUAGUGCUCAAACUGUGCUUUCUGACUAACCCCCUCUGCUUGCGAGGACGGCAGCACGCUGAGCUCAUUACAGACCAUCGCCUGACAGCCUUACACGCAAAGAUCCUUUGCAGCCGCCUGCUCAGCCAGGAGGCAGCAAAUGGGCACAGCAGGGGAAGCGUUUUGUUCUUGGUGGGGAAGAGAAACUGGGAGAGUGCAUUCGGAGGCUGCAGACAGCCCAGAGCCUGUGGAAAGCCGACUCUCCUGCUUUUUCUUUUAAAGCCAGAGCCUUAAAGGAGUCAUCUCAGAACGCUUGGGAUGGAGUUUCAAAAGGUACUCCACAAACAGACUGAUCGUUUUGUGUUCGAUCCAUAAAUAUAGCUCUUGGACAAACUUCGUGUUUCGCUUGCACUACUGUAACGAGCUGAUAGAGCUCAGCUAAUAUUUUACACAAAUACGUUUGAAUACAAAGUUCCUCUGUUUCCUACCCUUCAGCUUCCUGCUUUUGCCAGAAGUAAAACUAAAGUUUGGCCCAUGCAAGCUUUAAAUUCCUGAAAACUUAAAAUAACCACUGAGAAAUACGCCACGGUGUUCUCUAACACCUCCCAUCCCUUUCCAUUAUAAGCCCCAGAACUAGUGGCAGGGUAACUAGAUGACUUUUUUUUUAAGAGAUUAUGAUGUGAUAAAUCUACAGGUGUUUUGUCCCAGUCCAACUGCCCUUUCUGUCGAGUAACUUUUGCUUAGAGAGAUCCCAGUGCAGUCUUACGGUCUGCCUCUCAGACUUGGGACUUGUGAGCUGUGAAGGCUGAGCAUUAAAGCUGUGUUUGACAUCCCUGAGUCCGUUCAGAGGAGGAUAGUCCCGUAGUUUCACUUCCAAGUUCCUUAACAGCUCUAGAAUAGAAGUCUCGUAGAUAUUUAGGGGUGGCAAAAGCUGGCGGCAGCACGGCUGGAUGGUGGUGGCAGGGUCUGGCUCCUGAUAAAACAGUGCGUACGAGAGGCUGGGCUCCAGGAGGGUGCUGCCACGGUGCCUCUUGGCUGCUCCUCGCCGGCAGGAAUUGCUGCAGAAACGCUGCAAGGUGCCUGCUCGGAGAUCCAAAUUGUGCGGCCAAAGGGGAGGCUUCAUCCAUGGGCUGGGACUCUCUUGCCCGGCCUAAAGCUCAGCGCUUGGCAAGUGCAGUCCUGCUCUCUGGGGGUUGCUUGGACAAGGGGGACGCAGGGAGUAAGGCGGAGGUUGUCCUGCUUGCCUGCUGGAGGAUGUGAAAGCAGUCCAGCCGUGCAGCACCCAGGGAAGGUGGACCUGAGUGGUAAGGUGUAGAGGAGCGAGAGCGUGGAGAGGGGACAGUUUUGUGGGGCUGUGAAAGAGCAGCUUGCGCCCGCGUUCAUUUUCUUUCUCUGCCAUGCUCAGCAUCGCCAGGUAAGUCCUCUCGUGCUGCCGUGCCUUCCUCCAGGUCUCCUUCCCUGUAGGUGGGUGUUGUGCAGAUAAAGCAGCAGACGGGUGAGAACUGUUGGUGGAAAAGCAACUCCGGAGAGGCAUCCUGCCCUCUGCAGAGGAGGUGCUGGGGGUGCCAGCUCCUGCCUCUGCUGCUGCGUGGGGCUGGAAGGAGCAGGGGCAGCACAGAGCGGGGAGAAACCGUGGGGAAGAGAGGAGACGGGGAAGGAGGUGGCUGGCGGAGAAAGCUGGAAGGAGUCAGGGAGAGGACAGGGGGCCCACGGCUCCCGGAGGGUGGGAGCGUGCCCUGGGCACGGGAGUCACUUGCUGGGAGCCUGCGUGAGAAAUUCCCGGAGGCUGCAGUAAUGGAAACUGCGUGCGCGCGUAGAGGUGGGCAGGGAGAGGGAGCGAGCCAGGCACGCAGAUGUGCAAGGGCUGGGAAGAAACAUCCUGGGAAACACAGGGGGCAGAGGAGGCCCAGAGCCACGCUGCUUGUUGCAUGAUAGCACUUGAGCUAACACAGCGUGCUCCCCUGCGUCACAUAAGGCAUCCAGGUGUCCGCGUCCUGCGUCGUGAUACGAAACCCGCUAUUUGUAACUCGGUCGGUGGAAGCUGAAAUGCAACAAGAGGCGUUUUCCCCCGGCCCUGCUGGGCUGAAAGGCAGACGGUUGGGAGCGGUGCGUGGCGAGCAAGGAGUCCUCUUUGUUCCGCUGGGGCGGGAGGCAGGGGACGUCCCAUUUCUGGCCCCUUCGUCGGGCUUUCACUCCGGGGGACUUAAAAGAUCAAAUAAGUUUACAUACACUCGCAUAAAUUGAUGGGAUUCUUUUGAGAGGCUCGUUAAUUUUCCAGAGUUAACACAAAGUUUUUAUUUUCAACCUGCUGAUCAAUUU